rnacentral:rRNA from 1 species
UACGUAGGGUGCAAGCGUUAAUCGGAAUUACUGGGCGUAAAGCGUGCGCAGGCGGUUCGGAAAGAGAGGUGUGAAAUCCCAGGGCUUAACCUUGGAACUGCACUUUUAACUACCGGGCUAGAGUACGUCAGAGGGGGGUAGAAUUCCACGUGUAGCAGUGUAAUGCGUAGAGAUGUGGAGGAAUACCGAUGGCGAAGGCAGCCCCCUGGGAUGAUACUGACGCUCAUGCACGAAAGCGUGGGGAGCAAACAGG